rnacentral:rRNA from 1 species
GACGAACGCUGGCGGCGUGCUUAACACAUGCAAGUCGAACGGAAAGGCCCUGCUUUUGUGGGGUGCUCGAGUGGCGAACGGGUGAGUAACACGUGAGUAACCUGCCCUUGACUUUGGGAUAACUUCAGGAAACUGGGGCUAAUACCGGAUAGGAGCUCCUGCUGCAUGGUGGGGGUUGGAAAGUUUCGGCGGUUGGGGAUGGACUCGCGGCUUAUCAGCUUGUUGGUGGGGUAGUGGCUUACCAAGGCUUUGACGGGUAGCCGGCCUGAGAGGGUGACCGGGCCAAUUUGGAAUGGGGAACCGGCCAGGACCCUUCGGGGGGCCAGCGGGGGGAAUUAUGGAAAAAGGGCCGGAGGCCGGAUGCAGAACGGCGGGGGGGGGGAGGACGGCUUUCGGGUUGAAAACGGCUUUCGCUGGUGACGAAGCGUGGGUGAGGUUAAUGGUAAAGAAGCACCGGCUAACUACGUG